rnacentral:rRNA from 1 species
GAUGAACGCUGGCGGCGUGCCUAAUACAUGCAAGUCGAGCGAACGGACGAGAAGCUUGCUUUUCUGAUGUUAGCGGCGGACGGGUGAGUAACACGUGGAUAACCUACCUAUAAGACUGGGAUAACUUCGGGAAACCGGAGCUAAUACCGGCUAAUAUUUUGAACCGCAUGGUUCAAAAGUGAAAGACGGUCUUGCUGUCACUUAUAGAUGGAUCCGCGCUGCAUUAGCUAGUUGGUAAGGUAACGGCUUACCAAGGCAACGAUGCAUAGCCGACCUGAGAGGGUGAUCGGCCACACUGGAACUGAGACACGGUCCAGACUCCUACGGGAGGCAGCAGUAGGGAAUCUUCCGCAAUGGGCGAAAGCCUGACGGAGCAACGCCGCGUGAGUGAUGAAGGUCUUCGGAUCGUAAAACUCUGUUAUUAGGGAAGAACAUAUGUGUAAGUAACUGUGCACAUCUUGACGGUACCUAAUCAGAAAGCCACGGCUAACUACGUG